UCAUAGCAGAAGUGGAGGUUUAAAUAACCUCUAUCCAGGCGAUCUAAUUCCUUUCACACGAAGACCUCUCUUCCUAAUAAUUGAUAGCGACAAAAGCGAUGCAUUCAAGGCAGGUUCUACAUGGGGCAGAAAGAGGAGAAAAAAGUGCUUUGUUUCUCUCUCCUCUGAGGCCAUCAUUCAAGAACCCAGGCACUGAUGUAACACAAACUGGAAGUCAGUUCACCUUGUUCUUGA